UACAACUCUGUGACUCUUAAGAAGAAUUCACUAACAGCAUCUAACAGGAUGUUUGCCAAAUGUUCUUGAACUAGGCAACUUGGAGGAAGUGACAUGCCUAUCAUUUCAUGGAUGUUACUUAAAAAUGAAUGUGAAGGAUGAGAUCCUCUGUAAUAGUAGAUUCCCUGACAGAUUUUCCAUGUGUCCUACUUUACAGAGCAUGUCCUCUAUUUGAAAGGCUGUCAAAGGAUGGUACUGUGUUUGAAGGAUUCCUCUGUUUGAAUGUCUGCCUCGUCCAAGUCCAGUUUAAAGAUAACCAUACGAAAGAAGAACAGAGGCCCUGAAGUUGCCUCCUGAAGCUAAUACCUGGGCAACAAACUGAGUAGGCACACAGGUCACCGGGCCACAUUCUUCCCCACUAUGAGCAUGAGGAAAGAGCAACACUGCGCAGAAGUCCAGUUUGAGGCACAUGAUUUUCAGCCACAAAUCAGAGGAGCAGAAGACUUCCCCUGCUGCCCCCCAAUGUUUUGAACUUCCAAGCAAAUAAGGAACUGGGAACUAGGAACCAAAUUCAGCGUUGCGACAACAUAGCCAGUUAACAGGGAUGAUGGAAAUUGUAGUCCUGCAACAUCUGGAGGGCACCAUGUCAGCUAUCCCUGAUCUGUAAGGUCCCACAAGUGCCUUCGUUGUUUGUUGCAAUACAUACAAGAACAUAAGAAGAACCUGCUGGAUCCAAUCAGUGGCCCAUCUAGCCUAGCCUGUGCUCACAGUGGCCAAUCAGAUGCCCUAAAGGGAAGCCCAUAAGCAGGACCUGAGUGCACAAGCAGCACUCUCCUCACUUGUAUUUCCAGCAGCUGAUUUUCAGAAGCAUACUGUCUCUGACAGUGGAGUAGAACAUAGUCAUCAUUGGUAGGUGCCGCUAAUAGCUUUAUCCUCCAUGAAUUUGUUGAAUCCUCUUUUAAAGCCAUCCAAGUUGGUGCUCAUCACUGCUUCUUGUGGUAGUAAAUUCCAUAGUUUCACUAUAUGCUGGGCAAGACCACAUUUUUAAUUGCAGGAGAAGGGAUAACAUUUAUGCUGGUGGAUUACUUUUGAUAUGUGCAUUUUCUAUUUACCUACAUUAUGUCUCUUAAGUUCUGCUUCUGACAGUUCAGUUGUGCAUACAUGUCUACCCAAUGAGUUCAAUGGGACUUACUUCCUGGUAAGUAUGUACAGGAUUAAGUUACCUCUAAGUUAUACUGUUGACAAAAAAAAUUACAAAAGCAACAAUUAAAGUACUGAAGUUUGCAUUUUUCUUUGAUGAUAGGGGGUUUCCAUAUUGAUCAAAAUGUGUUUUAGUUGAAGAGGUGCUGCAGUAGAACUCCUGUUCAGUACUGGUGGCAAUGUAAUCUGUAAAAAGACAUUCCUUGUCUGACAUGCUCUUUGAGCAUCUUGUUCUUCUGAGACAUAACAGAAAUGUAUUGUAAAAGCAGCAUUUCAAGUGUAAAAUUUGAUUUCAAGUGAAUUAUAUGUGUGUUGGAAGUAUCAUCAUUGCUGGCGGUGGGGUGGUGGGGAUGUGGGAUUCUGUUAUGCCAUUCUGGUAAUCUUACAGAUAAAAAAUUUUAUUCUACUACCCUCUGUUUGUGUGUGCGUGCUUAUUUUUAAUGUUGUUUUAGGCUACUUAGAUGUGCAGCAGCCAAGGCCAGCAUCUUGUAGGCAAUUCUUUUUAAAAAAGUAACUAAAAUGUAAUUGUAGCGAUUACUUUUGAAUAAAAGUAAUCAGU